AUUGAACGCUGGCGGCAUGCCUUACACAUGCAAGUCGAACGGCAGCACGGGAGCAAUCCUGGUGGCGAGUGGCGAACGGGUGAGUAAUAUAUCGGAACGUGCCCAGUCGUGGGGAUAACGUAGCGAAAGCUACGCUAAUACCGCAUACGAUCUAUGGAUGAAAGCGGGGGAUCGCAAGACCUCGCGCGAUUGGAGCGGCCGAUAUCAGAUUAGGUAGUUGGUGAGGUAAAGGCUCACCAAGCCAACGAUCUGUAGCUGGUCUGAGAGGACGACCAGCCACACUGGAACUGAGACACGGUCCAGACUCCUACGGGAGGCAGCAGUGGGGAAUUUUGGACAAUGGACGCAAGUCUGAUCCAGCCAUUCCGCGUGCAGGAUGAAGGCCCUCGGGUUGUAAACUGCUUUCGUACGGAACGAAAGGUUUCUAUUAAUACUAGGAGCUCAUGACGGUACCGUAAGAAUAAGCACCGGCUAACUACGUGCCAG
rnacentral:rRNA from 1 species